rnacentral:lncRNA from 1 species
GUUGUGUUUGAAUUACUUUUCCGUUUUAAUGAUUAACUAAUAUGGUCACUGCCAAGGUCAAUUAUAGAGCAAAGAAUUCCACUCAGACCGAUACAUUGGGCUGUCUUAAACUUUUAGUGAGGAGAGAGUGUUGGCUCUAUGCUGAAGACCUUAUUGUGACUUAUGAAAUUUAAAAAUAAGAAAUAGAAGUGGUUUUACUUUGAUUUUGAUGAUUUCAUGUUUGUGAAGUGAUUUUGAUGAUUUCAUGUUUGUGAAGUGAUUUUGAGGAUUUCAUGUUUGUGAAGUGAUUUUGAUGAUUUUAUGUUUGUGAAGUGAUUUUGUGACAUAAAUUGAUACAACAUAUUCAUUGUUUAAUUAUGACAAUGAUGUAUAAAAUCUUCUUUGCAGUAUAGUCACUAAUAUUAAGAGUUUUAAACAGCAUGACUUCAAAUUUGAAGGUUUAGGACUUUGAGAAUGCUUUUAGUAUAAAUAUUGUUAAAAAAUGUUUUGUUUGUUCUUGUACUCUUAUUUAUUAUGAUGUUAUUGCGAACCCAUGCUACUUUUCCACAGAUUCACCUGAUAGUGACCUGUCCAUUUAAACUUUUGGCAGUUUUUAAAUUCUAAACCUGUUAUUUCAAUCUAUUUAACAGAUACAUUUUUUUACUCAAGUAAAUCAAUCAAUGAGUGAUAG